rnacentral:rRNA from 1 species
CCUACGGGCGGCAGCAGUGGGGACUAUUGCACAAUGGGGGGAACCCUGAUGCAGCGACGCCGCGUGGUUGAAGGAGUAUUUCGGUAUGUAAAGCCCUAUCAGCAGGGAAGAACAAUGACGGUACCUGACUAAGAAGCACCGGCUCAAUACGUGCCAGCAGCCGCGGUAAUACGUAGGGAGCAAGCGUUAUCCGGAUGUACUGGGUGUAAAGGGAGCGUAGACGGAAAGGCAAGUCAGAAGUGAAAACCCAAGGCUCAACCAUGGGACUGCUUUUGAAAAUGUCAAACUAGAGUACGGGAGAGGUAAGAGGAAUUCCUAGUGUAGCGGUGAAAUGCGUAGAUAUUAGGAGGAACACCAGUGGCGAAGGCGUCUUACUGGACCGAAACUGACGUUGAGGCUCGAAAGCGUGGGGAGCAAACAGGAUUAGAUACCCUAGUAGUC